rnacentral:rRNA from 1 species
AUUGAACGCUGGCGGCUGCUUUACACAUGCAAGUCAGACGGCAGCACAGAGAAGCUUGCUUCUUGGGUGGCGAGUGGCGAACGGGUGAGUAAUAUAUCGGAACGUACCGAGCAGUGGGGGAUAACUAAUCGAAAGAUUAGCUAAUACCGCAUAUUUUCUGAGGAAGAAAGCAGGGGACCAUUUGGCCUUGCGCUGUUUGAGCGGCCGAUAUCUGAUUAGCUGGUUGGUGGGGUAAAGGCCUACCAAGGCGACGAUCAGUAGCGGGUCUGAGAGGAUGAUCCGCCACACUGGGACUGAGACACGGCCCAGACUCCUACGGGAGGCAGCAGUGGGGAAUUUUGGACAAUGGGCGCAAGCCUGAUCCAGCCAUGCCGCGUGUCUGAAGAAGGCCUUCGGGUUGUAAAGGACUUUUGUCAGGGAAGAAAAGGGCGGGGUUAAUACCCCUGUCUGAUGACGGUACCUGAAGAAUAAGCACCGGCUAACUACGUGCCAGCAGCCGCGGUAAUACGUAGGGUGCGAGCGUUAAUCGGAAUUACUGGGCGUAAAGCGGGCGCAGACGGUUACUUAAGCAGGAUGUGAAAUCCCCGGGCUCAACCUGGGAACUGCGUUCUGAACUGGGUGACUAGAGUGUGUCAGAGGGAGGUAGAAUUCCACGUGUAGCAGUGAAAUGCGUAGAGAUGUGGAGGAAUACCGAUGGCGAAGGCAGCCUCCUGGGAUAACACUGACGUUCAUGCCCGAAAGCGUGGGUAGCAAACAGGAUUAGAUACCCUGGUAGUCCACGCCCUAAACGAUGUCGAUUAGCUGUUGGGCAGCAUGACUGCUUAGUAGCGAAGCUAACGCGUGAAAUCGACCGCCUGGGGAGUACGGUCGCAAG